rnacentral:rRNA from 1 species
AACGAACGCUGGCGGCAGGCUUAACACAUGCAAGUCGAACGCCCCGCCAGGGGAGUGGCAGACGGGUGAGUAACGCGUGGGAAUCUCGCUAGUUCUACGGAACAAGACCGGGAAACUUGUGCUAAUACAGCAUACGCCCUACGGGGGAAAGAUUUAUCGGAAUUAGAUGAGCCCGCGUUGGAUUAGCUAGUUGGUGGGGUAAUGGCCUACCAAGGCGACGAUCCAUAGCUGGUCUGAGAGGAUGAUCAGCCACACUGGGACUGAGAACCGGCCCAGACUCCUACGGGAGGGAGCAGUGGGGAAUAUUGGACAAUGGGCGCAAGCCUGAUCCAGCCAUGCCGCGUGAGUGAUGAAGGCCUUAGGGUUGUAAAGCUCUUUCAGUGGGGAAGAUAAUGACGGUACCCACAGAAGAAGCCCCGGCUAACUUCGUGCCAGCCGCCGCGGUAAAAC